CACCCGCAGCUCGAGUGGUGGUCACUUUUAUUGAGCCUAAAGCGUUUGUAGCCGGUUUCGCAAAUCUUCAGAUAAAUUCCUCUGCUUAACAGAUGAUCUUCUGAAGAGACUGCGAGACUUGGGACCGGGUGAGGUUGAAGGUACUUCCGGGGUAGGGGUAAAAUCCUGUAAUCCUGGAAGGACGACCGGUGGCGAAGGCGUUCAACUAGAACGGAUCCGACGGUGAGGAACGAGGGCUAGGGUAGCAAACCGGAUUAGAUACCCGGGUAGUCCUAGCUGUAAACACUGCCCACUUGGUGUUGCCCCUCCGAUGAGGGGAGGCAGUGCCGGAGCGAAGGUGUUAAGUGGGCCGCUUGGGGAGUAUGGUCGCAAGGCUGAAACUUAAAGGAAUUGGCGGGGGAGCACCGCAACGGGAGGAGCGUGCGGUUUAAUUGGAUUCAACGCCGGAAAACUCACCGGGAGCGACCUUUGGAUGAGAGUCAGCCUGAUGAGCUUACUCGAUAGAAGGAGAGGUGGUGCAUGGCCGUCGUCAGCUCGUACCGUAGGGCGUUCACUUAAGUGUGAUAACGAGCGAGACCCCCAUCUCCAAUUGCUAACGUGCAUUCGCGUGCACGCGCACUUUAGAGGGACCGCCAGUGCUAAACUGGAGGAAGGAGGGGUCGACGGCAGGUCAGUACGCCCCGAAUCUCCCGGGCAACACGCGCGCUACAAAGGGCAGGACAAUGAGUUGCCACCUCGAAAGGGGGAGCUAAUCUCGAAACCUGUUCGUAGUUAGGAUUGAGGGCUGUAACUCGCCCUCAUGAAUGUGGAUUCCGUAGUAAUCGCGGGUCAACAGCCCGCGGUGAAUAUGCCCCUGCUCCU
rnacentral:rRNA from 1 species